GCACAACACAAGGAGAAACUUGGUGUCCAGGGGAGGCCCCCGGCGGCUGGAGCGCGGCGGCAGCGGGCGCAGAGGCCGGAGGGAGAGGAGGCGAGGGGCGGCCCGAGCGCGGGGCGGGAGCGAGGCCAGCGGUCAUGUGCCCGUGCCCCCUGCACCGCGGCCGCGGCCCCCCGGCCGUGUGCGCCUGCAGCGCGGGUCGCCUGGGGCUGCGCUCGUCCGCCGCGCAGCUCACCGCCGCCCGGCUCAAGGCGCUAGGCGACGAGCUGCACCAGCGCACCAUGUGGCGGCGCCGCGCGCGGAGCCGGAGGGCGCCGGCGCCCGGCGCGCUCCCCACCUACUGGCCUUGGCUGUGCGCGGCCGCGCAGGUGGCGGCGCUGGCGGCCUGGCUGCUCGGCAGGCGGAACUUGUAGGAACGCGGGGCUUCUUGGUGGGGCCGGAGCCGAGACCCAGCCGGAGCGAGCAACAGCCUACAUCUGACCUCAGAAUACCAGCCGCUCCGGCCUUUCUUGUGCUUUUGAUUUAAUUUGGGGAAACUCAUUUUUUCCCAGCUCUGAGCCCCAGGGGAGGCUCCUCUGAGGCUGGGGAGGCCUGGAGGAGGAUGGGUAUGAUUUAACCAGUCAAUACUCAAAGAUACAGGAGAGAGGGAACAAAAGACGCUUUAUGGUGGUUGAGAUCUUCCCAUGUCAACACGCAAAGGUUUUCCUCAUCCUUUUUAAUGGCUGCAUGAUGUUCUGUUGCUUGGAUGAACCAGGAUUUCCUUAUAUGGUCACUUCCUUGGGAACAUUUGCAUUGUUUCCUGUUUUCUGGUUGGUGAAAACCCUGUGUCCUUGGAGAAAGCUGGUUCCCGUUUUCCAGAGGGGGAGCCCAGAGCUUGAAAGGCCGCGGUUGGCACUUCGAGAAGGAAGUGGAGAGUAAAGACAGCGCCUGGAGCGAUCGUAGAAACACAGAAUGGGACUGGGGAAGCCCUUUGGAAAUCCAGCUGCAGAAACAGACACCCCAAUGCUAUUUACAUACAGCUCUAUAUAUAUAAAAAAAGAAAAUAUGAAUAUUACGUAUCAGUGCAUGCCUUGUUGAGGACGUGGUUGCCUUCCUUUUCUGCACCUUGCGAUGUGAACUUUGAUAUUCUGUAAUGUCUGGGGCGCCAGAAGAGAGAUGCCUGCUGUGUACUUAGAAACUAUUUGCAAAGACUGGUGGGAAUUAGCCCCAGCAUCGGCCAACUGCCUGGGGAUAGAUGCUGGUGGAAUAAGAGGUAACAGUGCAAAAGGCAUGAUAGAAAAAAAAAGUGAGGACUUGGGACCGAUUGUGUAGGGGCAGUCUGGGAUGCCUCCAUUUCUUGACUCGUCCUAGCCUCUCCCUCUGUACUUACCUAGGUCGAUCGCUAGAUCCCACUGUCACGUCAAGAGAAAUGGGAUUUUUGUGUCUCUGGUGCUUCACUUAAAAUUUUGCUGGUGCUAAGUGCGUUCCUGCUGGUGCUGCUGUGGUAUUCUGUUGACAGACUUGGAAGGCCAGGGGACAAGAGAGAUUUCUAUUUUGCUGUUUCAGAUUCUUUUUUUUUUUUUUUUAAGGGACAAGUUGCAAAAGUGCCACUUGAGAGUCUCUUCUCUUCUUCUACCUGGGGACGAAUAUCCAGAGGUGGUUUGGAGCAAACCUUGGGGUCUAGGAGGGAGGAUGGCAUUGAGAGGCUUGCUGGUUAUGAGGCAGAAAGCUGACCUCAUGCAUGACUUGGUUGCUAUCUCCCCCACCCCCACAAAAGUGUCCUCGGAGUUCAGCCCACAGCCUCCUCCACUCCCCAAGGGGAUUUCAGGGUUUAGGUUUUAUGGAUUAAAGAGCCAAGAAAUGGCUACAUUCUGUUCAAAGAUGAUUUAUAACCGGGGGAUGUUGUGGGAGGGAGUGGGCCAUUUAAAUGAAAUGCACCAGCAUCUCACUGAUUGACAGAGGUCUGAUUUUUUUCCCCCCAAGGAUAAGCUACUAUUUUCAGAAGUUUCUAGAAGGGCUAAAAAAAGAUGUGUGCUGGACGGAGACUUGGCUGCAAAGACUCUUCAGGGAGCAGUGAUUAUUUUUUGCUUUCAUUUUCGAAAAAUCCAACAUAAGCAGGUAUUCUUCCUCUGUGCAGGAUACCACACACUGCCAUUUUCAAAGCCGAGGUGGCGAGGUGUCAGGCUGCAGAUUCGGACGGUCAUUCUCCAAGGCUGGAUUUGCAGGUCACCACCCGGUACCUAUAGACAGAGGGUCCAGCAGGCUGGUUAGCAGACACCGCUCCAGUUCUAAGACGCCAGCAGUGGGAUCCAUGUUUAAGGUGGAUGCGGCUGAAAUGGGAAUUAUCCCCCCACAGGCUUUGCUGUACAGUUCUAAGAAGCCAGCAGUGGGAUCCACAUUUGUUAAGGUGGAUGCGGCUGAAAUGGGAAUUAUCCCUCCAUAGGCUUUGCUGUAAAUGACCAGGUCCUUUAGAAUGUACAACCUCUCAGUGCUGCUGCAAGCUGGGAGCUGGAUUUCUUUCUGUCUUCCUUUUAAAAUCCGUUCCUUGUGUUUUCCUAAAUAGCCCUUUAAAGAGAAAUGCAACCCCAGGGCUGCUGAAUGCCAGGGAAGACUCCCCCACCCCGCAGCUUUGAACUCAGCAAACCAAAAAAAAAAAAAGAAGAAUAAUGCUUAUUUUGGGAGAACGUGUUUCUCCUCAUUACUCGUGCCCUCCCCCUAGCUGAUGUUUGCAGGGGACCCUCGCUUAGCUGGGGACUGCAGAGAGCAGUGGGUAAUAUUCCCACAAAGCUACGAACUUAGAGAAGGCAAAUUCAUUAGAAUAAUAUGAAAUACAGUCACUGCUUCUAUUUAAUCACUUUCUUAGCCACAGACUAGGGUCUUUCCAGCUCCCCCCAUUUUCUGGGGAGGGGCGUCCAUUACUACACAGCUGUAUCCAAUCACAGUUCUCUGCUUCUUUAAGGCUGUACCUUCAAGAUCGUAGUGGGGGCAUGCUGACCACCUGUAGACACAGGAGAAGAUGAAAGGUGAGAGGAUCCCUUUUUCAGCCCCGACUUGCCUACUGGCUUUUGAUGUUUCCCCUGGAGGAUACAAACUCCAAACGCUGGGGUUGGCAUUUUGGGUGAUUUUGAUUUCAAUGAAGCCACUUUGCUGAGAGAACUGGGGCACCCACGACCUCCUGAUAGAGCUUCUCAGCCAAGUCCCUUGUAGAUAUUCUCCUGUUUUAUUAGAGACCACGUAUUUAUCGAAUCCUGACCUUUCCUUGCACAUCAUUCAUUGGAGUGCACUUCUCGACUGCCCCGAUUUUUGACACGGGGUUGUUUUUAAUGCUUGUUUUUAUAUGAGAUUUGACUUCUUGAUGGACAUUUGUAUUAGGAAAUUGAAGCAUGAUAUAUAUGUAUAUAUUGUCUCCACCAUCUCUCCUGUUGUAUUACUUGGAUUGCAUGAGAUAGUGGGGUGGUUCUUGUUUUUUAAAAAAUAUUUCCACAGUGUGCAAAGUGCUGGCAACAUCCCUCCCUCUCCUCCACCGCUCCCCCACUUUUCUCUGGCUGCCAAGGAGUCAUUGAUUUUGAUUAGCUUCACUGCAGAGCGUCUGUGAAGAGAGAGAGAGAGAAAGGGAGGGAGGCUUUGAAAUAAAUUUUAAAAAAGACCUCAUAUCGGGUUUCAGCAGACAGCAGUGUGUGUGUGUGUGUGUGUGUGUGUGUGUGUGUGUGUGUGUGUGUGUGACCGUACAAGCAGAGGGAGGCCUCUGAGAUCAUCGUUUAGGUAGCUUGCUGCAUAAUGAGAUGAAGAGACUUUUGCCUCUUCAUUUCUGAUGGUGCUGCUUGCUCUCAGAGAGUGGGGAGCCAGGAACCGCUGGGACUGGAGCCCCCGGGACUUCAACACUCCGAAUGAGAUCCAGUCCUUUCUGGAAGCUUCUCACCCCCACCUGAUCUCCCACAAACAAAUACAAUCUCUUCAAAUUUGGGGGUCCGUUUCCUAUUCUCUUUGUUAUUGGUGUAGCUUGAGUAGGAAGUUUCUCUGGGGAGCCCAUUGGCCCCAAUGGCUGCUGUCCAUGGUCCUAGGCCGUGCGCAUGUCCUAGACCCCAGUUCCUGUUUUGUUUUUUUUUGGGUUUUUUUUGGCCCUGCGCAUCUCUUAGAGCCCAGUUCCUGUUUUUUUGUUCGUUUUUUUUUUUUUUUUUUAGCCGCCUUCAUUUGGAUACUGGGGACUUCUUUUCCACUUCUUCUUCUUCUUCUAUUUUAUUUUGAGACAGAGUCUCACUCUGUCACCCAGGCUGGAGUGCAGUGGUGCGAGCUCAGCUCACUGCAACCUCCACCUCCCAGGUUCAAGCGAUUCUCCUGCCUCAGCCUCCUGAGUAGCUGGGAUUACAGGCACCCACCACCACGCUCGGCUAAUUUUUGUAUUUUUAGUGGAGAUGGGGUUUUACCAUGUUGGCCAGAGUGGUUUUGAACUCCUGGCCUCAAGUGAUCCACCUGCCUUGGCCUCCCAAAGUGCUGGGAUUACAGGCAUGAGCCACCGAGCUCAGCCUCCACUUCUUAUUUUGAUUCUUUUCUGUUUUGAUGGUGAGAGGAAAGGGUGAUUUACCCAAUACUGUCACAGAAAAAUGAAACUGUGACUGGUUUUCACAAUGUAUGUAGCUGAUCUCAUGUUCUCCUAUUAUUAUGUUUCUGACAGUGAUAAAAUAUCACUCUCCCUCCCUGGGGCAUUAGAGGAGUCCUCACCCACCCACCUCCUACACAAGUAUCUUUUAGGGACAGUGGCUCACCAUUGUGGACUUUUUGAGUGUCCACCUGAUAUUACAAGUUGCAUUGACCAGAACACAGAUUUUGCUCUUCUGUGUCAAUACCCAUUUCUUUUCUGAAGGUCAGAAGUUGGUUAAGGGUUUGGGGGACCAGCUAGACACUCUUCUUAGUCCCAUGGAGCUGACUGGAAGUUCCAUGAGGGGAGGAAAUUGAUGUCAAAGUGUCAUUUUAAAGCUUAAGCUGAAAGUUUAUUUUUUAAAUUCUCAUUCAUUCAUUUAGCAUAUAUUGAUUGAGCAUCUACAAUGUGCCAGUUGUAGAAUUCCAUCUCAGAAGAGACUUGACUUGUGGAUGGUGGAGGGGCAGUCCUGCUCGGAAGCAGAUGAUGUGAAAUGUUCCUUUCCAGUCUGGUUCACGAUGUUUAACAGAUUUGUCAGGUCACCACUGUGACCCCAAGCUUUGCUGGCAGAUUGUUAUAUAGUAUUUACUGAGAGCCCUGCUAUCUGGUAAAGGCAGUUAAAAAGCCUGCAAUCUCGACUCAUUUCCAGCAUGAACAGACUGGUCCUUGCUGCUUUACACAAUAAUCAAAGCUACCUUUUAUGGCGUGCUCGCCACUCCCAAGCACUGGGCGAAGUGCUUUACCCGUCUUCCCCUCCGCGAUGCCUCAUGCCCACUUUAGCAGAUAGUACUGUUAGCAUUCCCAUUUUACAGUGGAGGAAGCUGAGGCUCAGAGAGGUUAAGCAACUUAGCUGAAGGCCACACCACCAGCGAAGUGCCUGAGCCAAGAUUUGGACUCGAGUCCAUGGGACCCCCACGCUCGUGAGCUGACUGCUCUGCUCCACUGGGUCCCUUCAUGAGGUCGUCCCACAGCACUGCUAGUUCCAGGGCGAGUGCCAGCACAUGGCCCCACUGGGAGCCGGGGCCUGACUUAGGUCUACUGGAAAAAGUGUCACCUUUGGGGACACUCAAGGACAGGCUGGUUGGUUUCGUUGUGGAUUUUAUAUACUCAUGCCCUAACCCUGUGUUCCUGGUUUCUAUAAGGCCCCGGGGAAGGUGCAAGGAAUUUGCAAAUAGGGCCUGUAUGACUUAUUUCCUAGGACACGGGAAGCUUUUCUUACCUCCUUUCUACCCUCUUCUCCAACCUGAACUCCCAAGUUUCUUCUCCUGAAGGUCUUUGCACUAUAAGCGCCAAGGAGCCCGUGUGCGUGGCAGGGGCGGCUGGGAGGGUAUCUGGAGAACCUUAGUGAGGCCUCUGGCCUAGCCAGAGAGGCAAUAAGCUUGGGGACGUUCCGUUCUGGGUUCUGACGUUGUUGGUUCUGACGUCGUUGUGCUCUUUUGUAAGAGGAAUUUCAUACCUUGGAGACGCUUUGUACAUAUUUGUAAUGACUUUAUUAAAAAACUGAUUGUGCACUUCUA